UGGCAUGCUUGGGCGAUAUAAAGGAUUCUGUGUUAGUGACAGUGUGAUGUUUCCUGUUUGUCUCGUCGAGUGAAUUCGAAAACGUUCAAUUGGGGACACAUGUCUCACGAAUACUAGCAAGUAUUCAGAUUCGAGCGAUAAUGAUACGUAUGUUGGCUCGAAGGUAUAUUCAAAAAAUUGAGCGUUCGGUUGCUCCAAGGUAAAACUUUUAUUGUUCAUUGCCUUCAACAAUUGUCAGCAGAAACGUCUACAUAAGGCCAAAGCAACAAUAAGGAUUAUGCUUCAAGUUUAAUGAAUGAAGACUGAAGAGUAUCAAAUCCAAGUACAAAGGAAUUAUGUUGGAAGGAUAUUUUUUUCAAGUGAUAAGCCCUUCCCAAAAUUGGAUGGAUGCUAAUGACACUGAAUCAGAACUGUACCUGGAGUCUCAGAAUUUACUAUUUUGGAUUAAGAAUACUGAUGAAGAAAAAUUGGUUGUGGGCACAGCAUUCGAAUCUUUGUAUUUAAAUCUUAUCAAGUACUAUCAAAGGGACUUGUGACUGAAGUUCAAUGAAUUUGUAUUACUGUGUCUGUGGGCUGUAUUUGGUUAACUUUAACUGUGUAUUUCAAAAAAAUUGCAAAAGAUGUUCAAAACUCAUAUGGAACUGAAAAUGGCAUAUGGUAGUUGUUGUUAUAGUUUGGUGGAUUUUUACUAACUCACAUGUUGUGAUCUAUGAAGGAUAAAGCUCCAAAAAACAUCAUAUGGGAGAAGCAGACCAUUGGUAACAGAUGUGGUAUCAUUUGGCUCGUUGCGUUCCAUCGGCUGACGAGAUUUUACUCUGACACCAUUGUGGAAAUGUUCAGACCAUCAUCCAACAAAAAAUUCAAACACCUCUGAAAACCUUCGAAUUCUAUUCCUGUGCUGCUUCCAACCUCAUUUCUCUACAAUUAAGGAAGAGACACAAUCAGCAUAACCUUUGAAUGAUAGUCACAUUGCUUGAGGUUGAAUUUUAAAAUUUGUUUAUACCUGGAUCAAACUAAAAUCGAUUAUUUCAGCUGAAGUACAACAAAAUAUUGUAUAAGCACCAUAUUUUGCACUAUGACCCAUGCUGUCAUGUCGUGCGUCACCAGAAAUGGUAAUUGAUUCCAGAGCCUGUAAUCUAUCAAGAAUCUUUCUUUGAUAGUCUUUCCAGUGAAGAAAGAUUGUCGGAAGCACCAUUUUCUUAAGUAAGAAUAAGAAAUACUAUCAAAUUCUUCGAACAAAGAACGGUCCAAGUAUUUUUAAUGCAAAAGAACGUACCACUUGGUGUCUAUAGAAAGACUCAUUAGAUAUUGUAGCAAGCCCCAUGUGUCGAAACAUGUUGAUCACUUUGGUGGAAGAUCCUCCAGAAACAAGUAUGGCAAAACUUAAAAGGAAGUCUCCUGCAUUUACUUUUGUGUUUGGCAAAAGUGGCUGACUUUUCCAGAUGUUAUUCCUUUUAUCGCACGCGGGGUUUCCACAGGUUGUUUUGACAACAACUAGUGUACCAUCUGUUACCAUUUCUACGAGCGGGUUAUCUGCCUUGCAAACAUGGCAAAAUUUAAACAGUAACAUCAACUGGGAUUGGAAAACAAUGUAUUUUUCUUCGUUCCGUAUGUUUUCUCUAGGAUUCCUAAACGAAGAUAGAGUCAUACGGGUGCCAUCAAGACAUAGAAUGAUUCACAAUUAGAUAGAAUUUACAAACAAGUCAAAUAUUUUACCUUCUGCAUUCAUCUUCUAAUUCAUCAAAUUCCGAUCUUCCCGAUUCAGCCUCGUCUUCUAUUUUAAAAUCGUCGUCCGCAACCGUGUCUAUUUCAACUUCGCUGUCUUCAGACUCUUCAUUUACGUCGUUGCCUGCCGUCAUUUCAGAUUCAGCUCUGUGCUGAAUGACCUCUUCGUCAUUCAGUAUAUUGCACUGAACACCUACAUAAUAAUAAAAAAUCGAACAAGUUAAUUUAAAAAAGUUUCAUAAAAUUAUCAUUUAACAUAAAAUGUCUUCUUUUAAUUCUAUUGCGUGAGUUUAGCAAUACAGUUAUAAUAACCGGCA